GACGAAGGGGGCAAGCGUUGUUCGGAAUUACUGGGCGUAAAGGGCGCGUAGGCGGCCUGUUAAGUCGAACGUGAAAUCCCCGGGCUCAACCCGGGAACUGCGUCCGAUACUGGCAGGCUUGAAUCCGGGAGAGGGAUGCGGAAUUCCAGGUGUAGCGGUGAAAUGCGUAGAUAUCUGGAGGAACACCGGUGGCGAAGGCGGCAUCCUGGACCGGCAUUGACGCUGAGGCGCGAAAGCCAGGGGAGCAAACGGG
rnacentral:rRNA from 1 species